CCUACGGGUGGCAGCAGUGAGGAAUAUUGGUCAAUGGCCGGAAGGCUGAACCAGCCAUGCCGCGUGAAGGGCAGGGACCUAAGGGCGUUAAACUUCUUUUGUGCGGGAGCAAUAAUGGUCACGUGUGGCCAGACGAGAGUACCGUACGAAUAAGCAUCGGCUAACUCCGUGCCAGCAGCCGCGGUUAUACGGGGGGUGCAAGCGUUAUCCGGAUUUAGUGGGUUUAAAGGGUGCGUAGGCUGUGAGGUAAGUCAGCGGGGAAAUGCCCCCGCUCAACGGGGGGAAGUGCCAUUGAUAAUGCCUUGCUGGAGUGCGGAUGCGGUGGGAGGAAUGUGUGGUGUAGCGGUGAAAUGCAUAGAUAUCACACAGAACACCGAUUGCGAAGGCAUCUCACGAAUCCGCGAUUGACGCUGAUGCACGAAAGCGUGGGUAUCAAACAGGAUUAGAUACCCCAGUAGUC
rnacentral:rRNA from 1 species